AGGGGAGGAGUGGAGAUGGCGGCGGCGGCGGCUCAGGGGGGCGGGGGCGGGGAGCCCCGGGGAGCUGAUGGGGUCGGCCCGGGGGUCUCGGGGGAGGUGGAGGUAGUGAAGGGGCAGCCGUUCGACGUGGGCCCCCGCUACACGGAGCUGCAUUACAUCGGCGAGGGCGCGUACGGCAUGGUCAGCUCCGCUUACGACCACGUGCGCAAGAUUCGCGUGGCCAUCAAGAAAAUCAGCCCCUUCGAGCAUCAGACCUACUGCCAGCGCACACUGCGCGAGAUCCAGAUCUUGCUGCGCUUCCGCCACGAGAACGUCAUUGGCAUUCGGGACAUUCUGCGGGCACCCACCCUGGAAGCCAUGAGGGAUGUCUACAUCGUGCAGGACCUGAUGGAGACAGACCUCUACAAGUUGCUGAAAAGCCAGCAGCUGAGCAACGACCAUGUUUGCUACUUCCUCUACCAGAUCUUGCGGGGCCUCAAGUAUAUCCACUCAGCCAACGUGCUCCACCGGGAUUUAAAGCCCUCUAACCUGCUCAUCAACACCACCUGCGACCUUAAGAUCUGCGAUUUUGGCCUGGCCCGGAUUGCCGAUCCUGAGCAUGACCACACUGGCUUCCUGACAGAAUAUGUGGCCACACGCUGGUACCGGGCUCCAGAAAUCAUGCUUAACUCUAAGGGCUACACCAAGUCCAUCGACAUCUGGUCUGUGGGCUGCAUUCUGGCUGAGAUGCUCUCCAACCGGCCCAUCUUCCCUGGCAAGCACUACCUGGACCAGCUCAACCACAUUCUGGGUAUCCUGGGCUCUCCAUCCCAGGAGGACUUGAAUUGUAUCAUCAACAUGAAGGCCCGAAACUACCUGCAGUCUCUGCCCUCCAAGACCAAGGUGGCCUGGGCCAAGCUUUUUCCCAAGUCAGACUCCAAAGCCCUUGACCUGCUAGACCGGAUGUUGACCUUUAACCCCAACAAACGGAUCACAGUGGAAGAAGCACUGGCUCACCCCUACUUGGAGCAGUACUACGACCCAACAGAUGAGCCAGUGGCUGAGGAGCCUUUCACCUUCGACAUGGAGCUGGAUGAUCUACCCAAGGAACGGCUGAAGGAGCUCAUCUUCCAGGAGACAGCCCGCUUCCAGCCUGGGGCACUGGAGGCCCCCUAAUCUGGACAGACACCUCUGUUCCUUGGGGCCUGCUGCAGCCCGACGGAAGGAAGGCAGACACACCUGCGCUCCAGCUCCAGCCCUGACACUUAGCCCUGCCUCCUGCCUGCCCCUCCCCUGCCGGACUGUUAGGAAAUGGACACUGCGCCCCGCCCAGAAUCCCCCGGCGGCCCCCGGCAGGGCAGAGGGCGCGCCUGGCCACCCUCCCCGGCUUCGCUCUGGCCUCCUGAUCCAGCAGGCCAAGGCUCCCUCCGCCCCGCCUCCCCUCCCAGGACCCGAGGGGCUUGGGUGGCCCCAAAGCAAAUUGCCCUCUGCUGCUUGCCUUCGUCUACCCCAGCUAUCCCAGUCUCUGGUAGUUCUGGAAUGGAAGGGCCCUGGCUGCCCCGGGACCUACUGAAGGGCAGUGGGGGGAUGCGGGAUCCUGAGUAGGGACUCGGGGCAAGCCCUGACCCAUUAAAACCCCACCCCAUUUUCCCUGAAAGGAAUUUUCCUAAGGCCCAAGGGCUAGUACCCCUGAGGAGCAGGGCCCAGACCUAAGCCCCCUCCCCCAAAGCUGCCACGUCUAACACCCCUGCUGCCUCUGUAUGUGGGUGAACAGAAGUGGAGUGGGGGGCACGAGGAGAGCCUGGUGCCCCCACCCACCCUGUGCCUGUAUCUAAUAUAUAAAUAUAGAGAUGUGUAUAUGA